rnacentral:rRNA from 1 species
AGUAAAAGUCGUAACAAGGUUUCCGUAGGUGAACCUGCGGAAGGAUCAUUAACGAGUAACUGAACGGGUUGUAGCUGGCCUUUCGGGGCAUGUGCACACCUGGCUCAUCCACUCUUCAACCUCUGUGCACUUGUUGUAGGUCGGUAGAAGAGCGAGCAUUUAAUGCUUGCUUGGAAGCCUUCCUAUGUUUUACUACAAACGCUUCAGUUUAAGAAUGUUUACCUGCGUAUAACGCAUUUAUAUACAACUUUCAGCAACGGAUCUCUUGGCUCUCGCAUCGAUGAAGAACGCAGCGAAAUGCGAUAAGUAAUGUGAAUUGCAGAAUUCAGUGAAUCAUCGAAUCUUUGAACGCACCUUGCGCUCCCUGGUAUUCCGGGGAGCAUGCCUGUUUGAGUGUCAUGGUAUUCUCAACCUUCAUAACUUUUGUUAUCGAAGGCUUGGACUUGGAGGUUGUGCUGGCUUCUAGUUAAGUCGGCUCCUCUUAAAUGUAUUAGCGUGAGUGUAACGGAUCGCUUCGGUGUGAUAAUUAUCUGCGCCGUGGUCGUGAAGUAACAUAAGCUUGCGCUUCUAACCGUCCUUCAGUUGGACAAUUACUUUGACAUCUGAC